UAGGGAAUAAAUGACUGAAUGAAGGUUUGCAAAAUCCUGCUCUACACUGACACAGAUAUUUCAGCUAUUCAUGGGAUUGUUUUGGGGAUCUCUUCAUCAUUGUAAGAAAAACUCCUAGCUGCCUCAACACAAAUGAAUCAGGAUUCUUGGAUAAUCUUCAACAUUGAAGAUGACAAGAAACUUUUGCAAGUUCCAGAGGACGUUUCACAAGAGGCAAAUGCAUCUCCAUUUGUUCCAUAAAGUAUGUGCAACGCUGCUGAGGCACAGGGUGCCCAACAAAGACCUUUGCCAGCCCAGUCCCUGCUUUUCAACCUCAGCAUCUUUGAAGACAUUUCUCAGGCUCUUGGGAUAUCAGCAAAAUCACCACUGACUUGAUUUUCAGUUCUUCAGUAAAAAUGUCCAUUAUACAAGAGGAGAAAAAAUACAUUGAAGUUGUCCCCUUUAAAAGUGGUAGUUUCUUUUGGUUUUGUGCGGGUUUUGUUUUUUUUUAGAAUGAAAAUAAACCCAAGACAAUUGGCUUCAAAACACAUUCCUAAUGCUUAAACCAUUCUCUGAAAUAUACAAGUACUUAGGCUGAGGAGGAAACGGACAUUAGAUGAAGAGAUUAUUAAAAAAUGUAUGAUUAUUUAAGGUCAGCUGUUAUUGUAGCAGAAUUUAGGCAUACAACCAUCUGAAAGUUUUAUCAGCUAUGACAAUAUUUGAACUUAUUCAUGAUCAGUGCUCACAGCCAACCAUUAGUUUACUUAGGUAUCCAAUAAUUAUAAAUGUCAAACAAAACUGUUUUCUACCUAGCAUGGCCUGAUAAGGAAGUGCUGUUUACUUACACCAUUCAAAGAAGGUUGGAUCACUUGACUUAUUUUAGAUCAUACUUUAGUGUACCAGACUGAAAGCCUGGACAGGAGAAUCACCCAUUGGGUGAAACUUGGUCCCAGUAUUGAUGGCAGUACCUGCCUUUGAAGAUCUGUUUGAAGUGUGAAAGGUUAGGCCCUUACAGAGGGCAGAAAUGCAGAAAAGCUGUAAUUGUGUGACUCAGUCCAGCACUUCCAGCUGAGAUGAGCUUAUCUGACACCCUUGCAGUGACAAUGUACUCAUUUCUGAAACUGAGACUACAAGAGAUCUGCUCUCUGGACUGACAUGAUCCUGUAUAACUACUCUUUCAAAUGUUCUAUGAACCUUGCAGAUCAGGACUCAGCUAAGCAAUGUUUUCUUUAUUUUUUUCUGUCACCUGACUUCCUGCAAAUGAUAAUGCUGAUUUUUUUAUUGUUUGUGUUGUGUAUUGUGGUAUUUCACGGGGAGGGUUGAUUUGUGGUUUGCUGUCAGUUUUGUGGGGGAAGUUGUAUUUAUUUAUUUGUUUGUUUGUUUUGUUUAAGAAUACUGCACAUUUCCACAACUUCAUAAGAAUUGUCUUUCUAUGUGUAUGGAAAUGUGCACGGUGUUCACCAGCAUCCACAGGCAUUUAUACUGUGGUACCCUUUGGAAUGACACUAUGAAAGGAUUUCUGAAAUCCAUCUGAUACCACGUGCAUGGUCUAUGCUGAAAAAACAAGCAAGAGGGUGACCCUCCUGAAGAGCUUUAAUACAGCUGUGCAUCCCCAGAAAAAGGUAGCUGGGAUGUUUUUUCCUCUAGUAGAAGAAAACAUUCUACUAUUAUUUUGUUUUAUUUAAAGUGAAGGAUUAGAUCAAUUUGGCAGUAUUUUCUGUGUGUUGUGGUAACAACUUAAAAAAUUCAGGCUGUAAAAUAUCAUUAAAAUUUGGAUUAAUCAGGAUUAACACACAUUGGGGGGUAGGGAAUGCAUUAUUAAGUCUCCUUGUCACCUUCACAGAUUUCAGGGCUUUGUUUCACGUGAAAAUAAGUACCUCAUGGAUUCCUGUAAGUUUCAAUAAAUACAUUAUUAUUGAUCCAAUAUAGACAUCCUUUUUGCAAAAACAACAUUGAAAAUAAGCUUAUAUUUACCAAAGCAGUACAUCCUUGGGUUAUUUUGGGUUUGUUUUUAAUUUGCUUGUCCCCUGACCCUCUUGCUUAUUUCCUCUGGCAAUAGCUAUUCCUAGACUCUAAAUGUGCUUCGAACACAGAGGAA